rnacentral:lncRNA from 1 species
CAGAGAGUCGCAGCUGUAUAAAACAUAUACAACGAUCCCUGUAUUUUCCGGUGCGCACUAUAUAAAUGCUUAAUGCGCACUUUUCCAAAAUAGAUUUUACGGAGAGGGGAAAUCCACUGCAAAUAAUGGUAAUGGCCCGCCCGCCCGCAUCAACUUUAAGUGAAGCUCCGGAUGAGAAACUAACUAUACAACAAAAUAGUGGCCUAAUUGUAUUACCUUGCUGUGCGUGACGCACAUUAGUUAUUUAAAACAAUUUCCGUUACGUUUUUUACUAAAAAGUUCCUCUUAUAGAAUUUAUAGGAAGUUUAUAUUUCAUAUUAUUCAUAUCUUUGACUAUGUAAGUAUCCCAGAAUAUCUCUACGAUUAGUGAAAUAUACUAAUCUAAUCACGACUAAACUAAACUACUCAUUUACAACAGGUUGAGAUGAAGGACAAGAUCAAAGAGAAAUCACAGUGCCCGCAAAGCCAAUGAUCAACGAGAGUGCUCAACAGGACCCAAAGACAUGUAUGUAUACAUUUUCGCGCGCACGAAAACUUUUCGUUUUAAAGGCAUAGUUCAGCCUUUUGAAUGAUGGCUUUUAAUGGGAAUGUCUAUAUUUGUUAAUGUCAUAACGACCCUGAGAACGAGAUUGUGCUCCAGUGAGCUCUAUAUAUCCGGAACAAGAACUUCAGUCAUUCGGCCUAUAAGGAAAGUGACGGUCGCUAUUGCUAUGAAGUCAAUAUAGCUAUAAAGGUCGUAAACAGUUUUAAUACCCUUUUUCCAAGCUAAUUCCAGUUCUUUCUGACGGACUGUGUCGCUAAACAAGUUAUCAGUUCAUAAAACCAUUUAAAGUGGCACUCGCGUCAAAAUUAUUAUUUUCUUACAGUCGAUUUCACGAAACUUUGACCACAAAUGUUCCGAACUUCGUCGCGAAGUUCGCAAGUUCAUAUUGGAAUUUACAAGCCAAUUUGUAAACAAAGUCGUCCCUGAUUGGUCACUGAAGUGGAAGAAGCCAAUCAAAUGCGUAGUUUACAAACUGGUAUGUGAAUCUCAUUAUGAACUUUUGAACUUCGCAACGAACUUCGCAACGAACUUCGGAACAUUUGUGGUCAAAGUUUCGUGAAAUCGACUGUAAACGAAAAUGCUCUUAAAACUGUAUAGUAACUUGUUUUGAAGAUUUUUAUUUCCAUGCUUAGUUCUUGAGAUAUUUUAUCUGUGACGUCAAUGACUCAAUUACAUAUAUAAUGAGAUAUCAGUAAUCGUUGUGUAUCUUUGCAAUUUUUGAUGGAUUUGUUUAAAAAAAUCAGUAUGCUUUAUGAUGUAGGUUAAAUUAACAAACAGGCCACAUCUUGAAAAGAUUUGAAGAAAAAAUAGCAAAGAUAUACAACAAUUACUGAUGCCUCAUUAUAUAUGUAAUUGAGUCAUUGACGUCACAUGGUUACAAACAAAAUAUCUCAAGAACUAAGCAUGGGAACAAAAAUUUUCAAAACAAGUUACUAUACAGUUUUAAGAGUAUUUUCGAUUAAGAAAAUAAAAAUUUUGACGUGAGUGCCACUUUAAUUAAAUCGAUGUAAAAAUACGAAAUUUUGGCACACUCAGUUGCCAAUUUCGUGUUGACCGCGCAGACAAAAACAAUAGAAAGGGACUGGAACUGAGGUCCAAUAGCUCUUUAAUUUCCUUUACUUUUUGGACUCGAGUUCUCACUCCAGAUAUAUAUGGAGCUCACUGCAUUGCUGUUGGAAGCGAAGCUGGAAAGACUGUAAAAUUAUAUGUGGUAUUAUUGGUCAUGCAUGUUAACUUUCUUCCUUUCAAAAUUUACGAAACUUCACCCUUGCGUCGACAAAAAUUGCGUUUAUCACGUGACAUGCUGAACUUUGCAUUUAAUUUCUAAAACGUGGUUAUGUUUUUAUCCGCAGUCGAGUGUGCGUGCGUUUGCCGCAAAUUGAUUAAAUUUUGGUUAAAUUUGGAUGAAAAUUGGAUGAGAAAUUAGCAAAAGUUUGUCUUACUUUAAUUGACUCUAGAAGUGCUUACGUCACGCACUUUUCAAUGAUCAAUGACGUAAGGACAGGCCAAGGUCAAGCAGGUCGGUUAGAUCGUUUGAAAGUUAAUCAGGCCUAAAGUUAAUUAUUAAGAAGUCACUAAAAGUUAUCGCGACGUUUCACUGAUAUGUUAUCGAGGAGGGAAGUGGAUACUGGAUAAUUUGUACAUAAUUUUAUAUAUUUUGGAGUACAUAAAUUAAACUUAAAGUCAGACAUCACCUGCUUCUUUCGAUGUUCUACCGACAUCCUAUUUCUACUAAAUAGCAUUGAAGGAUUAAGGUUCGUUGGAGUUGGGACAGAAUACUGUAUUCCCAAAAGCUGAAAAGGAGUAACUCAUUUCAUAUCGUGUGGAGGUAACUUGGAAACUUUCUUGGCACAAUAACAUAUUAAUUUCUUCCAGUUGGCCGCCUUUAUAUCUGCACACAGGUAUAUAUAUGUAGAUUAGUAGAUACGACUAAAGUUGCAGCGUUAUUCCUACAUGGUUGUAGACACAGGUCAUUAGCUAGUCGCUUGAUAAUCAUGCGAAAUAUCUCUCCUCUCACAAGGCAUUAUUUUAUUAGACAGAAGUUAUAAUGUGUCUAGUUUCGAGGCGAGGAAUAUUCUUGCGUUCGAGCAAGAAUAUUCUUCCGAUCUGUGUAAUGACAACAGGAUAAACGUUACGCUUAUUUCAACACAUACUAUAUAUACUGUACUGAGUGUAUACUAUAUGAAUAUAUUAAAACAACAUUGCUACAUGGUUGUACUUGUUUUAAGUUUUAACUAUUAGCGCUAACUGCCGGGCAAACUCAAACUUUAAGAAUCAAUAUUUUCGGAGAAACAAACUUUUAUUUUAAUAGUGGUAUACUUGUUGCAUAUUUCCAUACACGCGUAAAAAUUGAGAAAAUCAACAACUUGUUGCAAGUUGAUAGCGACAGGCGUGAACAAGGUUGUGUGGCCCGCUAUGAACAUGAUCAGUACUGUCAACACAAAGGCCCAUUUGCAUCAUGAAUGAUGACAUAGCAAAAUUAGGUAAUUUUAACCACCAUGACGAUACAUCUUUUCUCAGUUUUGCAGAGUUCGCUGUUAGAGAACAAUUUGCAAAAGCACUAACAAAUUUACGUAUUUGGAAUUGGAUCAACAUUCAAAGUCGAGAAAAGUAAGUCCAUUUAAUUUAUCACGUAUUUAUAUCUAUAAUCAAUUUGUA